CUGGGUUUGACGUCGCACGUGGUGGGAGGAGCCCGGCGCCGACGCGCGCGACUUCCGGAAGAGGGGCGCUCUUUCUGGGUUCCUGGUAGGGAAGGAGGCGAGGCACGUGAUCCCUGACGCGAGCUCGCACGCACGCACGCCGGUUGGGCGAGACGGGAAGCGGCGUGGGGCGCAGGCGGCGCUUACUCUGGGCCCCACCCCCUCCCCGCCGCCUGACCGCGGCGUCCGCGCCCCUUCAGGGGUGUGCAUCGGUUAACUCCUGCGCCCGGUCGGUGAAAAGCGGUUCGACUUGGCCUUCGGGCGAGAAGUCGUGGAGCUUCUCUGUCUGCGUUUCUCAGUCGGUGGACUGAGGGCCGAGGACUGAGCUGAAGUGCCAGUAUGCAGGCUCCUUCUCAGCCGUCUCGCCUACCCGCAGGACUAAGAAUUCUGCGCCUCUGCAGAGGGGGAACGGGCAGAUUCUCGGGCUAACCCAAGUCAAGCAGGAGAGGCGCGGGCUGCCGAGGUAGCCUGGAGUAGCUCCGAAGCCACCAAGGGAGCCUCGCUCCUGGUGGGACCUUACAAAUUGAUUUCCGUGCACACCCUGGCAUGUGGGGAAGGAGAGAGGGCAGCGCCACCCUUUGGACUGAGGGGGAGAGCAAAACCAGUUGGCCAAUGAGUCUCACCUGUUGGUCCAGGGCCCCUGGAGAAGUCUCCUUUCCUAGUACUGAGGUGGUUGGUGAUGACCUUUAGCCUGCCACCCCCAGUUUGAAAGGGGAUUUGGAAACAGUGUCCCUUAACUUGACCACCGCCUGCGGAAUGGUUAACUCGCGCUGCAAGGCGGGCAGUGAAGGAUUUAAGUGGUUUUAUGCAACAAUUGAAGAUUGCUGUAGGGAGGCUGCCUCUUCAGAGCUUGAACUGUGGUCUUGCAACAGCCUUAUUCACUUGGGGUCAGCACCAAGAAGCGGUUCUAGAUAUUUUUAGCCCUUGGAGGGCGAAGCUCUGUUCGUGUUUCUUUGGUACCACUUGGUGCCUUGCACAUAGGAGGCAGAGUUUGAGAGACACACAGAGAGAAAGGUCUUCCUUCUUUUGGUUCACCCCCCAAGUGGCUGCUACGGCCAGCACUGCGCUGAUCUGAAGCCAGGAGCCAGGUGCUUCCUCCUGGUCUCCCAUGCGGGUGCAGGGCCCAAGGACCUGGGCCAUCCUCCACUGCCUUCCCAGGCCACAGCAGAGAACUGGACUGGAAGAGGAGCAACCGGGACAGAACCUGGCGCCCCAACCGGGACUAGAACCCCGGGUGCCGGUGCCGCAGCGGAGGAUUAUCCUAGUGAGCCUCGGCACUGGCCUUUCUCAUUGUAUUUUAAUCCUUUCUCUUGGUGUUGAGUUUACUUCUCUAGUCCCUCUAUUUCUUAUAAAUGUGGUCUUCAAUGCUGGGCGGUUGAAUAGGUUAAAGAUUUUAAACAAGAUUUUAAAAUAGGUGAUUUUGAAUGGUUUACUUUGGAUAAAUGACACACUAUCUUCUUGAACUAACCCAUCUUUUUAAAAAUUAGUCCUGAAUUAGGUUAAUCUCCCUCCAUGUAAAGUUCUGUGUGGUUUUUUUUUUCUCCUUAGGUCUGUGAGGGCUUUUUUUUUUUUUUUUUUAUUUGAAAGGCAGAGUGACAGGGAGAGGAAGAGGGAUGGACAGAGUUUUCAUCUUUCCUGAAGUGCCUGCAACAGCAAAGACUAGGCCAGGCUGAAGCCUGGAGCCAAGAAUUCCAUCUAGGUCUCUCAUAUGAGUGGCAGGAACUUAAACACUUGGUCCAUCUUCUCCUGUCUCCCAGGUACAUUGGCAGGGAGCUGUAUUGCAAGUGUGAAGUAGCUAGGAUUUGAAUGUGGGAUGCCGGAGUCCAAAGUAGCUGCGUAACUCACUGUACCACAAGGCCCGCCCACCCUUAGUUUCCUACAAACGUCCAACUUCUGCAUCAAUCAUUCAUUUAAAACUUCAGCAGUAAUUGAUAAUUCUUGCCUGAGUCAUCAUUUUACUAGAUGUAAAAUGAUCCUUUCUAAUUCUUUAAGUUCAUCUACAUUUAUUAGUUUGUGUUCUUCCACAGAGAAGUUUUCUGUCUUAAAUCAGGAACAAUACAAACAUUGGAAAAAAAUACUACAGUUCUUUUACUUUUGUUACUGACUUUGCUAGUAAGUUACAUGGUUUUAGAGGAUGACAAAUUUUUCUAGCUUUUAGCUUUUCUGAAUAUUAUUAUGUAUUCAUAAAUUUUUUGUAGGUUUGAUGAUUGUUUCUGAUUCUCAAAUUUUGAUGCUUCUGGAACACUUCUGAGAAUUCUUUCUAUGUAAUUAUAGUUUUCUAAAAUUCCUUUGAAAGUAUUAGAAAUAACACCUGAGUGGGUGGGAGGCUGGAUUUUGAUUAUUUUUCGGUUUUGCCAUGAAUUAGCUGCGUGAUCUUUAAACAAAUUGCAUAACCUCUUUGGUCUUAAUGUUUACAAGCAGAAUUUUGGCAAGGAUACCUGCAGCUCUGAUGCUCUCUUACUUUUUAAAAACCACUACGGAGAUUUAUUUUCCAUAAAAUUCACCCACUUAAAAUACAUAGUUCAGUGACUUUUUAGUAACUUUAUCAGAUGGUGCAGCCAUCAUUGUAAAUAGUUUUACAUGCCUAUUUGCAGCUAGUUCCCACUCCCACCUUCCUACAACUCAGCAACUAAUGCACUUUCUGUUCCCAUAAAUUUGCCUUUUGUGGACAUUUCAUACACACAGAAUCAGUACAGGAUCUCUUGUGUCUAGGUUUGAUUUAGCAUAAGUUUUGAAAAAAGAAUUAUUUGAGAGACAAAGAGCUCCAAUCUGUUGGUUUACUCCCCAAAUGCCCACAAUGUCUCUGGGCCAGGGGCUAAACCUGGGAGCCAGGAUCUCAAUCCAGAUCUCACAUGUGAAUGUCAGGGACCCAAUUGCUUGAGGCCUUACCUCUUCCUCUGAACUAGCAGGAAGCUAAAGUCAGUUGCUGGAGGCAGGCAUCAAACUGAGACACUUUGAUAUGAGAUGUCAGCAUCUCAACCACAAGGCUAAAUGCCCUUUCUCAGUAUGUUUCUGAAGUUCAUCUGUGGCAGAAUGUGGUUCAGUAAUUAAUUUCUUUUUCUUGAUGUAUAGUAUUCCAUUAAAUGGAUUUUUGUUUUGUUUUCUACCUAAUUACUCGUUGGCAGACAUUUAGAGUGCUUCUGGUUUGGGACUGUUAUGAGUAAUGAUGCUAUGAGCAUGUGCAAGUGUCUGUGAGCAUGUCUUUUAUUUCUCUUGGGUAAGUAACAAGGCAUGAAUGUGAUAGAUUAUGUAACAAUUCUUUGUAGAACUUUUGGAGAAGUUGACAAGUUUCUUUUUAAAGUUUUAUUUAUUCAUUUGAAAGAGUGAUACAGAGAGAAAAGGAAAGGCAGAGAGAGAGAGAGGUCUUCCAUCCGCUGGUUUGCUCUCCAACUAGCUGCAACAGCUGGAGUUGCGCUAAUUCGAAGCCAGGAGCCAGGAGCUUCUUCCGGGUCUCCCAUGUGGGUACAGGGACCCAAGGAUUUGGGCCAUCUUCUGCUGCUUUCCCAGGCCAUAGCAGAGAGCUGGACUAGAAGUAGAGCAGCUGGGACUCGAACUGGCGCCCUUAUGGGUUGCCAGCAUUGCAGGCGGCAACUUUACCUGUCAAUCCACAGCACUGGCCCCCAGUUUUCCAAAGUGGUUGUACUGUUUUCUCUUCCUACCAGCACUAUAUGAAGUUUUCCAAUUUGACUUUUUGAUGAUCUGGAAAAACACUUUGAUUGACUUGGGACUGAUAUUUUUUACUACCAACAAGUUACCUUCUCCUUGGACACCAUUAUUAGUCUUUAGUUGUUAGGAAUAUUUCUUAAAGAAAUAGUUCCUAAAAUAUAUCAAUCUGCCUUAAAAUGAAAUUCUGAUUCUUAGUGUUAUCUUUGAACUGUUUUUAUAUAAUCUGUAAUUUUCUUUCUGUAUUUUAAAUUUUCUUAUGAUAGUUACACUGCUAUUAAUAACCACGAGCUAAGCUGUUAUUUAAAAAGAUAUGGUCUUGCCCAAUUACAAUAAUAAAUCAGUAAAUCAGUUACAAUAAUAAAUCUAAAUUUCAUUAGUGCACAAAAUUUGCCUCCUAUCAAACUAACAUCUUUAAUAUCAAUAAUAUGUUUAUAUAUAUACUUAGCAUGUUAGGUGAAUUAGAUAUUUGACAUAAUAUACUACUAGAGUAAGAAAAUGUAAAGGACAAAUGGAAAUCACAUUUUGUGAAGUUAUAAAAUCUGAACGAUGAUUCACAGUGUGGGAGGAAGUACUGCCGUUGUGAAGCUCAUUAGAACCUAGUAGUACUAAGCUCCAGGUUCCAAAAGUGGCAUAUUGUCACUAUAGCAACCACCAUGCUUAUUUGGAUUUGAAACCCAGGCAACGAGUGGUGGAUAGGGACUAUAAGAUGAAUAUGUGCUCUGGUGGGUUGAUAUGCCUGCCUGCUGAUGGUCAAUUGUUUGUUCUGUUUUCCUUACUGUAUUUGUUAUGAUUGAUUCUUUUAAUAGAGAUAUGUUAAUUCUUGCCAAUGUAUUUUUUUCAGGGAGAGAAAUUAAACUGUAUUCUUGUA